rnacentral:rRNA from 1 species
AUACGGAGGAUGCGAGCGUUAUCCGGAUUUAUUGGGUUUAAAGGGAGCGUAGGUGGGAUAUUAAGUCAGCUGUGAAAGUUUGGGGCUCAACCUUAAAAUUGCAGUUGAUACUGGUUUCCUUGAGUACGGUAUAGGUGGGCGGAAUUCGUGGUGUAGCGGUGAAAUGCUUAGAUAUCACGAAGAACUCCGAUCGCGAAGGCAGCUCACCGGGCCGGAACUGACACUGAUGCUCGAAAGUGCGGGUAUCAAACAGGAUUAGAUACCCUGGUAGUCCGCACAGUAAACGAUGAAUACUCGCUGUUUGCGAUACACUGUAAGCGGCCAAGCGAAAGCGUUAAGUAUUCCACCUGGGGGGUACGCCGGCAACGGUGAAACUUAAAGGAAUUGACGGGG